UUUUCCUCAAAGAUAUGGGCAAAUUGGGUAACACUUGCCGGGAGACUUUUAAAGGUCGUCCAAUUUGGUAAUUAAGGCACAGCGUAAAUGGCCGCCAUAUUUGAACACGUAGCGGAGCUGACUCUUUCUCUUUCAACCCUAUCGAGGAAAAAAAGUGAGAGGAAGUCGUUGAAACUUCCAACCAUAAACCCUAAUACAAUAAAUAACGCAGGGGAAGAGAGGGAGAGAAUUGAUCAAAAGCCCUAAAGUUCUAGUUUGGAGGACCUCUUAUAAUCUCUGCAUCUCUCACUCUUAAAUCUCACUGUAACGCUUCUUUCUGGUACGUAUCAGACUUUAUUCUUUAUUUAUUUACCU
rnacentral:lncRNA from 1 species